rnacentral:rRNA from 1 species
UUGCACGCUGGCGGCAGGCCUAACACAUGCAAGUCGAACGGUAACAGGAAACAGCUUGCUGUUUCGCUGACGAGUGGCGGACGGGUGAGUAAUGUCUGGGAAACUGCCUGAUGGAGGGGGAUAACUACUGGAAACGGUAGCUAAUACCGCAUAACGUCGCAAGACCAAAGAGGGGGACCCUCGGGCCUCUUGCCAUCGGAUGUGCCCAGAUGGGAUUAGCUUGUUGGUGGGGUAACGGCUCACCAAGGCGACGAUCCCUAGCUGGUCUGAGAGGAUGACCAGCCACACUGGAACUGAGACACGGUCCAGACUCCUACGGGAGGCAGCAGUGGGGAAUAUUGCACAAUGGGUGCAAGCCUGAUGCAGCCAUGCCGCGUGUAUGAAGAAGGCCUUCGGGUUGUAAAGUACUUUCAGCGGGGAGGAAGGGAGUAAAGUUAAUACCUUUGCUCAUUGACGUUACCCGCAGAAGAAGCACCGGCUAACUCCGUG